rnacentral:tRNA from 1 species
AUUUAUAUAAUAUAAAAAUUAUAAUUGACUUCCAAUCAAUAAAUCUAAAUAAUUAGUAUAAAUA